UACGGGGGGGGCAAGCGUUGUUCGGAAUUACUGGGCGUAAAGGGCGCGUAGGCGGCCACCGCAAGUCGGUUGUGAAAUCUCCGGGCUUAACCCGGAAAGGUCAAUCGAUACUGCGGGGCUAGAGUGCAGAAGGGGCAACUGGAAUUCUCGGUGUAGCGGUGAAAUGCGUAGAUAUCGAGAGGAACACCUGCGGCGAAGGCGGGUUGCUGGGCUGACACUGACGCUGAAGCGCGAAAGCUAGGGGAGCGAACGGG
rnacentral:rRNA from 1 species